UNUACAAUGGCAGGGUCUCGUUAUGCCUCC
rnacentral:piRNA from 1 species